AGAUUUUUUUAUUUCAGGGAGAUGGACCACAACGCCACCAAGUCGCUUCUGGUCGGCUACAUCUCCUCCGCCGAUCGCUCAAUCAAAGCGAAGACGAAGCGGCUUCCCUUUGCAAUACGCUUAUCAAUUCAUUGGUCCAAGUUUUUGUGAUCGCGUUGGCUGCAUGAUUUGCUUCCCAAAAGAGUGUUUAUCCCAGGAGGAGCUGCUUAAUUAGCGGGGGAGAAAAUCACACGUUGAUUUGUGAAGAGAACAGCUUGAUCUAAUGUGGCAUUCUCUUCCAUUCCACUUUGGAAGGGGUCUAAUGUUUGGACUAGUUACUUAUUGACUUCUUUUUGAUGUAAUAACCAUUGUUUAGCAAAUGAUUGUCAUAUUAAUCUUUUGGGUUAGUUAGAGUAGUUUCUAAAGUAUGCAAUACGUUUUCUUUUUUUGGGUAAUUUCAAAUCAGUGUAUAUUUAGAAAAAUAUUUUUUAGAUCAGUGUUAAACUUUACAAAUAUUAAAGAGUAAAAUCAUAAAUUUUUUCAUGUAUUUGUAA